AAAUCUAAAAACAGCACCGACAACAUUAAAAACCGACGUUUGGAUACACGAAAUCGAUAGUUGUCACGUCGCGCGUGAGCCUCGUGAGUCGGCGUUAAAACACCGCAACAGUACGACGAACCUACGUGACCGUGUGAGCCAAAAACACGCGGAUGGUUUGCAAGCUGUUGCUAACGCUAAAGCUAAAGCUGCGGAUCACUAACAAAUGCAGGUAAACACACCUGUCUGCAAACGCCGGUCCGGCUCCUUCACGCAAGACUCCUGCAGGAGGUGCAACGUGCGCGCGAUGGUCUCCAGUCAGAAAUGUGGACCCAAAGGACAAACUCCAUGUAGCCUCAGCUGUGGACCUGAAGAGGACAGUGUGGAGUCCUCCUAAAGUCACUGAGGCAUCCAGAACUGAUAAAAAACUAUCAGAAUGGACCAGUACAUGUAGCAGACCCUGAGGAAGCUGAGGAGCAGCAAGAAGAAGAAGAAGAUAAUGAUGUUUUAACGUUCAAAUGCAUUUUGAGUGACACCAAGACGUGGUCUGUAUUCAUGUUCAUGAUCAUAGGUUAAAGGUCUCACUGGUCUUUCAUCAUGUCCAGCAUUCAAUGUGAGUUAAGUUUUUUUCCAAAAUGAAGGCACUUUAAGCCUAAUUACAGUUGCACUUAAAAGAAUAAUAAUAAUAAGCACAGUGUGCCUUUGUUUACAUUUCAUGUUUAUUACCUUUGUGCUGCAAGUGCAAAAAUGUGCACUUUUUGUACCUUUAAUGUUUCAUUCUUUGUUUAUUAAAGA